CAGGGUUUAGAGCUUCAUAGAAGCUCAGUGACUAUUUGUUGAAUGAAUACAUGAACUAAAUAAAAAGUUCUUCAUUAAAACAUAAGUACCAUGAGAAUAACAACACUUUCAGAUUAUUUUUAGGUCUGUAUGUAUUAUUCAUUCAUUUAUUGUUUGUUUGCUUAUUGUCAAGAUUAAUCUGAAAGAUUAUGCACUUAUCAUGUGCUGUGUAUUAGCUGUGUAACUUGAACAUGCAGGCAGGAAAGAGUUAAAAAUUUACUCAGUGGCACUGGGAGCAUUAAUGGCAUUCAUCUUUGGAUGUCACUAUAGCUACAGUGGAGCUGUCUUGCUGUAGAGCCAAGGGAACACCCCUGGGAAGGUGCUGGGUUGUUGGUGACCUAGUGUAAAGGAUUCUUCUAUGGACAACCCAGAAAACUCUUCUGAAUCUAGGAAGGCUUCAGAUGACACUUUCCAGACUGACAGACAUUGGGGUUGAGAGAAAACCUGGAACUGCCCCAAAUUGUGCAAGUACAAAUACAAAGAAGGAAUAAAGAUGAACUGAGAGAUAGAAGCUUGUGCAGCAGCAGCAGCAGCAAAUAUCUAUGCUUCUUGGGGUGGUGCUGUCUCUAUCUUUGCAUAGGGAAGUUGACUAAACAAGAGGGCUCUUUGGAGCACUGAUAUGCAAGCAAGUCAGCUUGGGUCUCUCCAGACAGAGAAAAGUAACGUAAAACAAAACUAUUCAAAAAGAACAUGAAGUGAAGUGCUGGUGGCCAGAAGAAAGACAUCUGAGUACAACCACCAUAGGUUACUGACAGACCAAAAUAUCCUGACAACUCCUGAAUGCUGGAAGGAGAGAAGGGGUUUAUAAAUCUGAGGUCCUUGACUAUUUUGCUCUUCUGGAACAUUAAACUCUUCCCCCAUCAAGAGGUGGUGUCUGUGUGUGUUCUCCUUGAAUUUGGGUGGCUCUUCCUGACUGCUUCAACCAAGAGACUCCAGUAGGAAUCAUACCAUGUAAUUUCUGAGGCUAGAUCAUAAGAUUGCCAUGUAUUUUAAUUUUGUUCUUUGAGGGUUGCUGGCUCCUGGAACCCAGCCAACAUACUGUGAUGAAGCCUACACAACUGUGGAGAGGCUCACAUGGAGAGGAAUCAGUGCCCACUGAUCUACAGCCCUGGCUGAGCUCUCAGCCAACAGUCAUAAUCAACUUCCAGCCAUAUUAAUGAACCAUCUUGAAAGAGGCUCCACCAACACCAAGCUGAGUAGCGUGAUUAUGUUGCCAAAGAUCACCUCUUUCCUAUCAUCUUUUUUUCUGAGACUUGUUUAGAGUGAACUCGGAAGCUGUGUUUUGCUCACUCUGAAGAUUGAAUAUAAGAAAAUAUUGCUCAAGUUCUGGAUGAUGCAGCUGCUGAAGUAAUCUGUGAUGCACUUUCCUUCAGGAAUCCUUAUCUAUUUGUUCAGGUGUUCCACAAGACUUCUUAUCUUGGAGUCCAAGAAUACUCAUUGUGUGAUUGCUUAUUGUUUCCCAGACACCCUGUUGCUUUGAGCCCUUGUCUCAUGCUUUCAAGUAAUGUUCUCAUGUUUACCUGCUGAUAUUCCUUCAAAGGUGCAGGCUGUAUCUCUUCAAGCAUGGAAUAAAACAAUCAGAUAAGAUGUUGUAUAACAAUUCAUAUUAAAAACAUGAUCUUGUCAGUCAAGAAGAAGAGAUGAAAACAAACACCUUGAGAGUUCAUGAGUAGAAGUAUACAGCCCUGAAUUUAUGAUAAUAUGGUGCAGUUUAUCCUUACGCAGCAAUGUAACUGCUUAAAGUGCUCCCAAAAUUCAGGCAAAAUAAAUUAUAAGUAUUAUUAAGAUCAAAGAAGGUAAGAGUCCCUACCUUUGACAUAGGCCAGGCCAAAGUUUGAUGUAUAUGCUCAUCUCUUAGCUCUGCAAGUCUAUGAAGAAACCAUCAGAAAGCAUGCUGAAAAUAGAAUGAGCUUCCAUUCAAAACAGAAAGCUCCUGUCUGUUUUAGUGAAGGCUACCAGAUCCUUUAUCAGAAAUUUGGUAUAGUUCAGAGGUACAAAUGUUCUUUUAGGUCCUUUGAAGCACAGGAUUCAAUAUCAGAGUUUAGUCUUGGCUCCAACCUCCAAUUCUUUGCAUAGUCAUUUGAGCAAUCUUGGGGACCAAGUCUUCCAUUAGCAUAGUGAUCAAUUCUCCUCAUUAACAAGGAACCAGAGAUAAUAUUUCAUAGGCAAAAUACUCAGGUAUGCAAAAAUGUAAGUUUUCAAUUGAUGUUUUUUGUACUGAAAUUAUCUUAGCUCAUUAGCUUUCACUUCUACCUGGUAGCAGGGAAUGCAAUUUUGCUAUUCCAAGUUGAUCCAUUAUUUCUAGUUUCAAGUUUAGUUUAUUUUAGAUAAAAUUUUAAAUUCAUAAUGUUUUUAUGACCUUUUAUCUUCUCUUCCAAAAAAAGGUUAUUCUAACUUCCUAAUAGGUUUACUUUCAUAGUAGUUGUUGUUAUGUAUAUAUAUGUAUAUAUUUUUUCAAAAAUCAACUUUAUUGGUUUGUAACUCACAAAAAAUAAAAUUCAUUCUUUUAAAGUGUAUAUUUUUUCAAUUUCUACACAAAUAGCCUGCCAGAAUUGGAAUGAUGUUGAAUGUAGAUCAAUUGUGAGAGAAUUGCCAUUAACAGUAUUGAGUCUUCCAAUCCAUGGACAUAGUAUAUCUCUCAAUUUAUUUAGACUUUUUGUUUCUUUCAGCAUUUCAUUGAAAUUUUAGGUUUAGAGGUCUUGUACAUAUUUUGUUAAGUUUGUCCUAAGAGUUUUAUAUUUUGAGAUGAUAGCAUAAAUGGUAUUGUAUUUUAAAUUUUAGUUUUCAAUUGUUUCUUUCUGAUGUAUAGAUUUAAAUUCAUUUCUGAAUGUUGAACUUGUAUUUUGUGAUCUUGUUAGUUCUAAUAACUUUUCUUUUUAGUUUCUUUAGGACAUUGUAUGCACAUGAUUAUGUUGUCUGCAAAUUAAGGGAGGCUUUAAUUGUUUUGUAACCUGUAUGACUUUUAUUCAACUUCAGUAACAAUAUUAAAUAGAAGUGGUGAGAACUGAUAUCUUUCCUUAUUCCAGAAAUUAGAGGAUAAGAAUUCAUUCUUUCAUUAUUGAUUAUGAUUUUAUCUGUAGAUAUUUCAUAGGUAUAAGUCUUUCAUUCUUGAUUAUGACAUUAUCUGUAGAUAUUUCAUGGGUAGUCUGUAUAACAUUGAGGUGUUUUUAUUCUAUUCCUAGUUUUAUGAAAUUUUUAUCAUAAAAACGUGUUAAAUUUUGUCAUACAUAUGAGUAUGUGUUUAUAUUCUAAACAGAAUUAGAUUUUUAGUCUUUAUUCUUAUAGUGAAAUAAAGUACAUUUUAAAAUGUUAAACCAGUCAUGAAACUCUGGAAUCUACUUUUCAUAAUGCACUACCUUUUAUAUCUAGAUGAUUAUAAUUUACUAAGGAUUAAGGAUUUUUGUGUAUUUUUUCAUAAAGAGUAUCAGUCUAAAGUAUGCUUUUCUUGUAAGAUUUUAUCUGGUUUUGGGUCAGCAUAAAACUGGCCUCGUGAAAUGAUUUGGGAAAUCUUCCUCCAUACUCUCUUUUUGAAAGAGUUUAGGUAGAAUUGUUAUUUAUUUUAUAAAUAUUUACUGGAAUUCACCAAUAAAGUCCUCUUUGCUUGGAGUUUUCUUUGUGGUGAAGUCUCUGAUUAAAAUUUGAUAUGGGAAUAUUCAAGUUUUCUAUUUCUUCUUGAGUCAGUAUUGGUAACCUGUAUCUUUUAAAGAAUCUGUUGAUUAUAGCUAAGUUGUCAAAUUUAUUAGCAUAAAUUUGUUUAUUAUGUUCCCUUAUUUAUUUACUCUAAAAUUUCUGUGGAUUUGUAGUGAUGUCCCUGUUUACAUUCAAUUAUUGGAAAUGCUGCUUCUUUUCAAAAAAUACUA